AACGAACGCUGGCGGCAUGCCUAACACAUGCAAGUCGAACGAUGCCUUCGGGCAUAGUGGCGCAGGGGUGCGUAACAAGUGGGAAUCUGCCCUUGGGUUCGGAAUAACAGUUAGAAAUGACUGCUAAUACAGGAUGAUGUACCCCUGAGAGAUCUUGGGGACCAAAGAUUUAUCGGCCAGGGAUGAGCCCGCGUAGGAUUAGGUAGUGGGUGGGGUAACGGCCUACCAAGCCGACGAUCCUUAGCUGGUCUGAGAGGAUGAUCAGCCACACUGGGACUGAGACACGGCCCAGACUCCUACGGGAGGCAGCAGUGGGGAAUAUUGGACAAUGGGCGAAAACCUGAUCCAGCAAUGCCGCGUGAGUGAGGAAGGCCUUAGGGUUGUAAAGCUCUUUUACCCGAGAUGAUAAUGACAGUACCGGGAGAAUAAGCUCCGGCUAACUCCGUG
rnacentral:rRNA from 1 species